UACGGAAGGUCCGGGCGUUAUCCGGAUUUAUUGGGUUUAAAGGGAGCGCAGGCGGAAGGUUAAGCGUGACGUGAAAUGUACCGGCUCAACCGGUGAAUUGCGUCGCGAACUGGUCUUCUUGAGUGAGUACGACGGAGUCGGAAUUCGUGGUGUAGCGGUGAAAUGCUUAGAUAUCACGAAGAACGCCGAUUGCGAAGGCAGUCUCCGAGUCCUUAACUGACGCUAAUGCUCGAAGGCGUGGGGAGCAAAC
rnacentral:rRNA from 1 species